rnacentral:rRNA from 1 species
GACGAACGCUGGCGGCGUGCCUAACACAUGCAAGUGGAGCGACGAACCGGGCUUCGGCCCGGGGCAAAGCCGCGAACGGGUGAGUAACACGUGGGUAACCUGCCCCGAUGAUUGGGACAACCCGAGGAAACUCGGGCUAAUACCGAAUGUGCCCUCCGGCCACAAGGCCGCUGGGGAAAGGAAGCUUCGGCCUCCGCAUCGGGAUGGGCCCGCGGCCCAUUAGCUUGUUGGUGGGGUGAUGGCCUACCAAGGCGACGACGGGUAGCCGGCCUGAGAG